rnacentral:rRNA from 1 species
CCUACGGGAGGCAGCAGUGAGGAAUAUUGGUCAAUGGACGAGAGUCUGAACCAGCCAAGUAGCGUGAAGGAUGACUGCCCUAUGGGUUGUAAACUUCUUUUAUAUGGGAAUAAAAUGUUCCACGUGUGGGAUUUUGUAUGUACCAUAUGAAUAAGGAUCGGCUAACUCCGUGCCAGCAGCCGCGGUAAUACGGAGGAUCCGAGCGUUAUCCGGAUUUAUUGGGUUUAAAGGGAGCGUAGGUGGAUUGUUAAGUCGGUUGUGAAAGUUUGCGGCUCAACCGUAAAAUUGCAGUUGAAACUGGCAGUCUUGAGUACAGUAGAGGUGGGCGGAAUUCGUGGUGUAGCGGUGAAAUGCUUAGAUAUCACGAAGAACUCUGAUUGCGAAGGCAGUUCACUGGACUGCAACUGACACUGAGGCUCGAAAGUGUGGGUAUCAAACAGGAUUAGAUACCCGAGUAGUC